AGCCCAACGAGAUCGGGAUAACACCUGGAAACAGAUGCUAAUACCGGAUAACAACAGAUGAUGCCUAUCAACUGUUUAAAAGAUGGUUCUGCUAUCACUCUUGGAUGGACCUGCGGUGCAUUAGCUAGUUGGUAGGGUAACGGCCUACCAAGGCGAUGAUGCAUAGCCGAGUUGAGAGACUGAUCGGCCACAUUGGGACUGAGACACGGCCCAAACUCCUACGGGAGGCAGCAG
rnacentral:rRNA from 1 species